GGUCAACGCUGGCGGCGUGCCUAAUGCAUGCAAGUCGAACGGCGCAUCCUUCGGGGUGCUUACGUGGCGGACGGGUGAGGAACACGUGGGCAAGCUGCCCUGAGGUGUGGUGUAGCCUCCGGAAACGGCGGGUGAUUCCUCAUGAGCUCAUCGCCCGGUGGUGGGGAUGAGAACAGGCGCGCGUGAGUCGCCUUGGGAUGCGCUUGCGGACGGUUAGCUUGGUGGGGUGGUAAAGGCCUACCAAGGCGGUGAUCGGUAGCUGGUCUGAGAGGACGGCCAGCAACACGGGGACUGAGACACGGGCCGGGAACAUUCGGGAGGCAGCAGAAAGGAAUUUUACGCAAUCGGCGAAAGUCUGGAGGAGCAACGCCGCGUGGGGGAGGACGGCUUUCGGAGUGUAACAGCAUUUUAUUGGGGAGGAGGACUGACGGUACCCGAGGAAGAAGGACCGGCUAACUACGUG
rnacentral:rRNA from 1 species